CGAUGCAUGAGAUGAACAGGGGUCUAAGCGGUUGAUGGCGAUGGGAUCAAGAGUUGAUCAAGGAUCGAGUCAAGGAGGCUUGGAACCAAUUCAAGAGUUGAAGAUCAGUUGAUCGAUUGACGUGCAUGUGCUUGAUCGAUUGAUCGAUUGACGUGCAUGGGUUGGGCACCAAUAACUGUUAGGUGAGGACCCAAUGACGACUUUAUUCCUACGGUUAUACAGUGGGUCUGACUUAACUAAGAAAUGGAACCAAUAACUGUUAGGUGAGGUUUUCAUGGCUUAGAGACCAAGUUACACUGCAACAUGCUUAAGAAGCAUUGUACAAGAGUUGUACAUUCAUCAAUCUAUGUGUCACCAAUAACUGUUAGGUGAGGUGGCAUGUAAAUUGGUGGGACCGCAGUACCCACUAGAAACCCUAGUCGUGUGGGAUUUCCGUUUUCCUACCAGGGGAGUGUGAGGGAUUCGAGAAAAUAGUGGGAGUUACAUUUAUUCUAAAAGACCUUAGAACAGAUUAGGAUCAAGUACAAAAGUCUAACUAGAAUCUUUACUCUCUGCAGAUACAAUGUCAGCCUCAAACCCUUUGACCCGUAUUCUUGAGACCAACCGAUUGACCGGAACCAAUUACAAGGACUGGCUUAGGAAUCUCAAAAUUGUUUUGAGCUGUGAGAAAAUAGGCUACAUACUCGAUUCAGAUAUCCCCACAAUACCAGCACGUCCUACU
rnacentral:lncRNA from 1 species